rnacentral:rRNA from 1 species
AGCGAACGCUGGCGGCAGGCCUAAAACAUGCAAGUCGAACGGAUCCUUCGGGAUUAGUGGCGGACGGGUGAGUAACACGUGGGAACGUGCCUUUUGGUUCGGAACAACUCAGGGAAACUUGAGCUAAUACCGAAUGUGCCCUUCGGGGGAAAGGAUUUAUCGCCAUUAGAGCGGCCCGCGUCUGAUUAGCUUGUUGGUGAGGUAAAGGCUCACCAAGGCGACGAUCAGUAGCUGGUCUGAGAGGAUGAUCAGCCACACUGGGACUGAGACACGGCCCAGACUCCUACGGGAGGCAGCAGUUAGGAAUCUUGCGCAAUGGGGGAAACCCUGACGCAGCCAUGCCGCGUGAAUGAUGAAGGUCUUAGGAUUGUAAAAUUCUUUCAGCGGGGACGAUAAUGACGGUACCCGCAGAAGAAGCCCCGGCUAACUUCGUG